rnacentral:lncRNA from 1 species
CUGCCGACGCGGGGCCAGCGGCGGGCCCCAGGAUCCGGAGCUUCGGGCGGGGCCGAGUCCAGGUUUGGGGCCCGGGAGGUGGGGCCGGUUAGGGCGAGGGUCCCCGGGAUCGUAGUGUCAGGCCUUGGGCCAACGUAGGCACUCGCAGUUCCUCCGCCUUCAGGAAGGUCUUUUUGGCAGGGGCCUUACGGGUGCGCGCUUCGGUCCUGGAGGCGUUAUCCUAGCCUCCUCUCCAUCAGCGCCACCCGUCUGGGGCCCGAUAGGAGGGAGCUUUCUGUCUGUCCCCCAGCCUUUGGACUGUCACCAAACAAGCCAUCCGUUCACCAAAUACUUAUUAAGCGCCUACCAUGUGUCUGGCAAGGGAGGUGUAACAGUGAGAAAAACUAGGUGUGGUCCAGGCCCUCCAGGGGCUCAGGGGCUCGUGGAAGAAGUGGACAUUGAAGUACUUACCACACAAAUGAGCAUGAAAGUACAAUAGCAAUAUCUGCCACGAAGGCGAGCAGACAGAGCUAGCAGGGCUUCCAGGAGGAGUUUUGAUCUUGCAGGGACAGGAAGGAGGAGUUAGCUCCUGGGGGGCGGGAUUGGGGGUGGUGGUGAUAUAGACGUGGGGACAGAGUGGAAAACAACAAAAAUAUAAUUAUUUUAGUUCAAAGUUAUUGUGUCUUGAGUUGAAAGGCAGGGCAGUUAGCGACACGGUUCAGAUUUCAGUACUGCCCCUGAAAUCUGAAUUGUGUUCAAAGUCUAAAACGUUUACCUUAGCAAAUCCCUCAUAAAACUCCAUUUGGAAGAGUCCCGAGAGCUAAUUUGUUAAGUAUACUUGCAGAAGGUAGAUGAGGAGACAGAUUAAAUCUUAUUACCUCUUUCAGAUGAGAGGCACUUGAGCCCUGCUCAGCCGUGAGAAUAAGAGGGGGAAUUAAUUCUAAUUGAAUACACUUGUUCUCUCACAGCUGUUGUUCCCCACCAGAACCAAAUGAGCGCAAGAUCUGACAAAGAAAAAAAAAGGUUCAUCUUUUAUUCCGCCAAACACUUUCAUCUAAAUCAAGAGGGUGGGAUGUGGUUAUUGCUGUGUUUUUAGACAGAAUCAACAGUUUCUGGGUCUGAGAUAUUGCAUACACCCUCUCAGUCCCUGUAUCCUCAGAUGGAGUCACCUGAGAAUCCACAGCAAGUCCUAACCGGGGAUGGGUCUGGGUGGUUAAGGAAGGUUGGCCUCAGAACUGGGCCAGGGGCACUGCUUUGCUUUUGCUGUUUUGAUCAGCUCUCUGCCCGCAGGAGACAAGGAAAACCAAUGGGAACAGGUUAGUUACACUCAUAAAUCCUGGGCUUAUUUUAUUAACUCACAUAAUAGCUAUUAAUUGCCUUUCCUCCAAGGAGCAAAAGGGCAUAUACGGUCAAUGCUAUAAUAAGUAACACUGUAUUAUGUUAUACUAAAAUAUUAAUAAAUCUAGGUUGGUUCAGUCUUUCCUGAUUCCAUAGAUUGGAAGCGGAUUGAGGAAGGACCCUAGCGGACCACAGAGCUGAGCCAUGCACACAGAAGAAAUCUUUUCUUCUUUUUUUUUUUUUUUUUUUUUUUUUUUUGAGACAGAGUUUCACUCUCUUGUUGCCCAGGCUGGAGUGCAAUGGCGCAAUCUCGGCUCACUGCAACCUCCACCUCCCGGGUUCAAGCGAUUCUCCUGCCUCAGCCUCCCAAGUAGUGGGAUUACAGGCGUGAGCCACCAUGCCGGGCCAUGUUUGUAUUUUUAGUGGAGACAGGGUUUGAACACGUUGGCCAGGCUGGUCUCAAAUACCUGACCUCAGGUGAUCCGCCCGCCUCUGCCUCCCAAAGUGCUGGGAUUACAGGCAUGAACCACCACGCCCGGCCAGAAGAAAUCUUUAUUUUGGUGUGCGGGCUCGGAUGAGGGCCAAAUGUCAUCUAUCUUGGAUCUGAAUCUGGAAGGAUCAAGGCACUGAAGGGAUUUUUUUGUUUCAGAGAGUCUCCCUCUGUUGCCAGGCUGGAGUGCAGUGGCAUGAUCUCGGCUCCUGCAACUUCUGCCUCCCAGGCUCAAGCGAUUCUCCUGCCUCAACCUCCCGAGUAGCUGGGACUACAGCCACGCGUCACCACGCCCAGCUAAUUUUUGUAUUUUUUAGUAGAGACAGGGUUUCACCAUGUUGGCCAGGAGUGUCUCAAUCUCUUGACCUCAUGAUCCAUCUGCCUUGGCCUCCCAAAGGGCUGGGAUUACAGGCGUGAGCCACCAUGCCCGGCCUCACUGAAGGGAUUUUUUUUAAUGUCACGUGGCUCUCACAGGUGCAGUGUGUUCAGGUGCAAGUGAAGAUUAGGACUGAUGCUUAAAACCAAACGUAAAAUUCCAGGUGGUGUUACUAUGGGGAAGAGCAUUAGGACAAUCUGAAUGGUUUCAGUUGCAAGAGUGUGCGUAUACGUGCAAGAACUACAGUCAAGAUUCAACUUCUGGCUUUGAGGGUCUCUUUAAUAACAGUAAUAACAACCUAAGGCAGUUUAACAGUAUGGAAUGGUUGCCUUUUAGAAAUUAAGCUAUGGGCAUGGAAGUUCAGUCAGUACAUUGAAGUUUUUCCUUUAUCUCUCCUAUGGUUAAUGGUUUCUGCAGAAAAGGACCAAUUGAUUUCUUUCUAAAACGUUGCUUCAGGGUGUAGGGACCUUUAUAGGUCAUGUUUCAACUUACAGAAAAUUUUAUAGUUCAAAUAUAAAUUACGUUCAAUGUGGACUUUGUAAUAGAAUUUAAGGUUAAGUAAAGUUUCUGCUUUCCUUAGGCUGUUUGCAGUGCCCAGCAGGCCCCAUGAUAUUGAGAUGGAAGUUAUGUUAAAGGAGGAGAUCGGUCAGGGAUGGGCAGAAUAAGGACUAUGGGCAGCUCAGGCUAAUGAUACAAUGAUUGAGGUGUAGAAAGAGGGCCAGGCACGGGAUAACGCCUAUAAUCUCAGUGCUUUGGGAGGCCAAAGCAAGAGGAUCACUUGAGGUCAGGAGAGCAGCCUGGUCAACAGAGUGAGACCUAAUCUGUACAAAAAAAAAAAAAUAGUUGGGCAUGGUGGUGUGCUCCUGUAGUCUCAGCCACUUGGAAGGCUGAGGUCAGGGGAUCCCUUGAGCCCAGGAGUUUGAGGCUGCAGUGAGCUAUAAUGACAUAACUGUACUCCAGCCUGGGGGAUAGGGUGAGGCCCUGACUCAAAAACAAUUGAGUCAGGGAAAAAAUUGGAAAUCUUAAUCCUCCGUAGCCAGGAAUGUGACCUUAUUUGGAAAUAGGGUAUUUGUAGAUAUAAUCAAGUAAUGAUGAGUCAUACUGGAUUGGGGGCUGCUGGUAAGGAGGCAGAUGCAAUGACUGGUGUCCUUGUAAAAGGAAAGAAUGAGGGCUGGGCAUGGUGGCUCAUGCCUGUAAUCUCAGCACAUUUUGGGAGGGUGAGGUGGGCGGAUCACUUGAGGUCAGGAGUUCGAGACCAGCCUGGCCAACAUGGUGAAACUCCAUCUCUACUAACAACACAAAAUUAGCACUGCGUGGUGGCGGGCGCCUGUAAUCUCAGCUACUCAGGAGGCUGAGGUGAGAGAAUCGCCAGAACCUAGGAGGCGGAGGUUGCAGUGAGCCAAGAUUGUGCCACUGCACUUCAGCCUGGGUGACAGAGGGAAACUCCAUCUCAAAAAAAUAAAAUAAGAGAGGAGAAUGUCAGGUGAAGACAGAGACAGAGGGAGAUGGCAGCCAUGUGAUGAGGGAGGAGAGAUUGGAGCGAUGCAUCUACAAGGAACACCAAGCAUUGCCAGCGGCCACCAGAAGCCAGGAGAGGCAAGGAAGUAUUCUCUCUUACAUGUUUCAGAGGAAGCGAAGCCCGGCCGACACCUUGAUUUUGGGCUUCUAGCAUCCAGGCCUGCGAGACAAUACAUUUCUGUUGUUUUCAGCCACAUGCAGGGCCCUCGUUGUUGUUAUGGUUUUUUUUUUUUUUUUUUUUUUUUUGGAGUUGGAGUUUCACUCUUGUGCCCCAGGCCGGAGUACAAUGGCACGACCUCGGCUCUCUGCAACCUCCUCCUCCCAGGUUCAAGCUAUUCUCCUGCCUCAGCCUCCUGAGUAGCUGGGAUGACAGGCAUGCACCACCUUGUCCAGCUAAUUUUUGUAUUUUUAGUAGAGAUGGGGUUUCACCAUGUUGGCCGGGCUGGUCUCAAAAUCCUGACCUCAAGUGAUCCGCCUGCCUCAGCCUCCCAAAGUGCUGGGAUUACAGGCAUGAGCCACCGUGCCUGGUCUUGUGGAUUUUUUUUAGACAAGAUCCCGCUGUGUCAUCCAGGCUGGAGUGCAGUGGUACAAUCUCAGCUCCUGCAGCCUUGACCUCCCUGGGCUCAGGUAAUUUUCCCAUCUCAGCCUCCAAGUAGCUGGGACUACACGCUUGGCUAAUUUUUGUAUUUUCUGUAGAGAUGGGGUCUUGCUAUGUGGCCCAGGCUGGUCUCAAACUCCUUGGGCUCAAGCCAUCUGCCUGCCUUGGCCUCCCAAAGUGCUAGGAUUACAGGCAUGAGCCACUAUCCCUGGCCACCCUUGUUAAAAAAUAAAGAAUUUCAAGAUGGUGAUGGCAGAUUAUUAAACCACAGUGGGGACUCUUCUGUGUCCCUGUGGGACUGUCCAGGUUGCAAGCCCAUGAAUCCGGCCCUGGCUGCUGGGCUCUUGGAGUGCUGGACCUCCCGUGGCAUGUGGCAAGGAGUUGUCAUGGGUUAUCAAGACAUAUGAUGAUCAACUACGGGAGACUCAAAUACCACUCAGUCCUUUUUCCAUUGAAUUGCUGUGUAUGUCACACUAGUAACAAACAGAACCGCAAGAGCUCCUGUGACAAUGCUGAGCCUGAUCACUGCGCCUUGCAGAGCAGAUGCCCUCUGCACCUCCGCUCCUGUUAAGAAACCAGAGGGUUUUUAAUUGUCUGUUCCCAUCUAGCCGCUAGUGAGUAUUAAUUAUGGAAAUGAAGUGUACAUUUAACCCAAGAAAAUGCUCACUCUAGAGAAAUCUCAUAGGGGAAGUCGUUGAAAGCCGAUUUACUAAAUGACCUCUUCGCCAAAUGACCCAUUUGCCUAAUGACCACUUUGCCAAAUGAUCAGUUUGCUGAAAGCCAAUUCGCUGAAAAUCUGUUUGUGGGAUGUCCUGCUUAUCAGUAACUGACAGUCAGACGCAGAUUAUCCCAGGCUCCCAGUGGGAUGUGGGACAGGGGAGGGGCUACAAAAUAGUUGUAGCAAAACUCCAAAACUUAAAAAGAAGAAAAAUCCUCCAUAAUUUGGUGAAUUGGUCAUUCAUUUAAUUAGUUUUCUACAAAAGGGACUGCUUUCUGUAUGUUCACAAGGAGAUCAUGGGCAGUGGCUUACAAGAAGAGAAAGGAUGUAUAUCACCCCUGCCCUCCCUUCUUUUCCUUUUUUUUUUUUUUAAGGCAGGAAUCGGAGUGCCGUAGUACAAUCACAGCUCACUGCAGCCUCAAACUCCUGGGUUCCAGCGAUCCUCCCGCCUCAGCCUCCCCAGUAGCUGGGGCUACAGGCAUGUGACACUACAUCCAGCUAAUUUAUUGUAGAGACAGGGUCUCACUAUGUUGCCCAGGCUGGUCUCAAGCUCCUGGCCCCAAGUGAUCCUCCUACCUCAUCCUCCCAAAGUCCCAAGUAUGAACCACGGUGCCCAGGCCAUUACUCCUUUUUGCAUGUAAUUGCUUUAAGUGCUCGUUAGAUCACUGGACAGUAUCCAAGUCUCUCCUGGGAAAAGGAAAGAUAGCCAGUGUUUGUAAACAACCCACAAAAGAAGGCAACAGCAAAUUCUGAGAUGAUUUUAUUCUUCCUUUGUAUUACCCAGAUUGAAGGGGUUUGAAGUCUUGAGAAUUUGCAGUCUCGUUUCAGACUCUCCCCUCUCCUUUUUUCAGUAUCGAGUGAACAGCAGGGUUUUGCUCCUCCACUAUGAAGAGCUUUCUGUGCUAUUGAAGGAGGGCAGAUUUCCGUAUCUGGAAGGGGCAUCUUGGGGGCAGUCUGUACACAGUGAUUUCCUUAGGACCGGAAGGAUUACAGCCCGACUUUCUCUAUAGAGCAACUUCCCUUUGCCUAAAAGGCACUAUGUCAAAUGUUACCAGCAGGUCGAGGGAUUCCCUACCUCCCGUGCUAUCUGUUUGGAGCUAUUGGAAUCUUGUUCCUGGGGCUCCAAAGCUGCUGGGAAACAGGAUUGUUCUGCUUGAAUUCCCUCCUCCCCACCAUGAGACCACUUUUUGAUUCUUUUCUAUCUCAGGACAGAGCAGACUCUGCUGACAGUUUUCUGGCAGCUGCUUUUGUGUCUCACCUGGCUGCUGGUCAUAAGAGCUCAUGAGCAUUUCCUGGGUGACUGCCAGGGAGCCGUUGUGGGUUUGGGGGUGACUCCCAGGAGCUUACACACGAAUGGGUAGAUGUGGAUGCUGUUAAAAGGCUCGGCCAGGCGAUUCCUCUUGAAAUCUGGCCCGAAAUCUCUGAAGAUGGUCUUUAUAUCCAUGAGGACAUUAUCAAAGCCAUGGCUGCCUUUGUUGAAACACAUUAUAAUUCUCUGAAAAAUAAUAACAAUAAAAAAGCCAUUUUAGAUUCCAAUCCGCUGAAAGAAAACUGUCCCUUAGUUAAUGUCAUGCUUGUUGGAUCCAUGAAGUCUUUGAGAAUUUAAACUACAAGGACACUGCUCUCUGUGGUGGUGGAGGGAAUACCAAGGAUUUAAAGGUCUUUAAGAAAGAGAAUGUAGAAAGCGUACCCAUUGGAAACAGCAAGAUGAUGAUAAUCGUACUGACAGUAAUAAUAAGCUCAAAUAUAUGGAGCUUACUAUGUAUCAUGAAUUGUUCUGAAUGCUUCAUAAAUAUACGUUCCCUCCUUUACCCUCAUGGCAGCCCAGUAAAGGCGCCAUUCCCCAUUUUACAGCUGGGGAAACUGAGUUACAGAGCUUGUCUACACUGAGUCAACAGGAGCAAAUGCUAGAUCAGGUCUAGCUGGAGUACAGUGAUGCAGUCAUAGCCCACUGCAGCCUCAAAAUUCCUGGGCUCAAGCAAUCCACCCACAUCAGCUUCCCAAGUAGUUGGGACUACAGGCCCACACUACUAUACCCAGACCAACAGAUAUUCUAGCAUAUAAGAAAUGUGAUGCUCUCUGUACAUUGAAGAGUUGGUCUAAUAUUUGGCCUGGUGGAUACAGAAAUUGCCUGUCUGCUCCGCUCUGGUUGAAGAAACCAGUCCGACUGUCUCUGAGGCUAUGGAGCAGUCCAUCAAGAAUGAAAGCCCUCGGCUGGCACGUUGGCUCACACCUGUAAUACCAGCGCUUUGGGAGGCUGAGGCAGGUGGAUCACUUGAAGUCACGAAUUCGACACCAGCAUGGCCAACAUGGUGAAACCCUCUCUCUACAGAAAAUAGAAAAAUUAGCUGGGCCUAGUGACGUGUGCCUGUAAUCCCAGCUACUCAGGAGGCUGAGGCAGGAGAAUCACUUGAUCCUGGGAGGCAGAGCUUGCAGUGGGGAGCUGAGAUCACACCACUGCCUUCCAGCCUGGGCGACAGAGUGAGACUCUCUCAAAAAAAAAAAAAAAAAAAAAAAAAAGAAAGUCCUCAUGAUGGCCUCAAGCACAUUGGUCCCUGAAGAGAGUCAAGGAAGGCCCACUUUACUCUGCACUGCAAAGCAGGCAGGUGGACAGGAUGAGAAGUGGAUUCAGUGAGAGGCAUUGACUCAAAGGAUUUUCUGCCUAAUGGUCGGUUCAGCAGAAGAUUAAACUGAGCACAGCAUCCUGUUCCCUCAAACUAUCUGGUUGGUCAGUGGGGAAUGUUCUUGUCUCAUUAAAUGUCCUCAUGCUACUGUCAAGAUAUCCUGUUACAAAACAUCAUAAAUCAGGUUUACAAAUAGGCCAGGUGACUGCGGAAUUUCUCCUUGGCAAGGCCUUAGCUAUGGGCGUGCGAUUGGUGUGCAGUAAUCACAGUGUUCCGGGCCACUUGAGGGAUAAAAUAUACCUUAGGUGAUAAACCAUUAUAUUUUAAUGUGAAUAUUUCCACCAACAUUAAACAGUAACCCCAUGAGUUUUCUCAUACCUGUUACACUCUGGAGUUGCAACAAGCUAACAUGAAGCAAGUUGCAAACAGAAUUAUCGCAUUUGGCCCCUAUUCACAGCAAGGGUUCUUCAAGCUGUACCUGGGACAGUCUUCCCUCACAUGAGGUUUAUAGCAUCAUUUAUUUAAUUAUUUAUUUAUUUUUUGAGAUGGAGUUUCUCUCUGUCGCCCAGGCUGGAGUGCAAUGGUGCGAUCUUGGCUCACUGCAACCUCCGCCCCCCCGGGGUUCAAGCGAUUCUCCUGCCUCAGCCUCCUGAGUAGCUGGGAUUAUAGGCACCUGCUACCACGCCUGGCUAAUUUUUGUAUUUUUAGUAGAGAUGGGGUUUCACCAUGUUGACCGGGCUGGUCUCAAACUCCUGACCUCAGGUGAUCUACCCGCCUCAGCCUCCCAAAGUGUUGGGAUUACUGGCGUGAGCCACGGUGCCCGGCUAUAGCAUCAUUUAAACUUUGUUUCUGCCAUGAAUUGUUAGUUGGUAGUUAACAAAAAAUAGACCACCUCAUUUAUGUCUCACAGUUAGCAUUGGUUUUUGUGUUUUCUUUAGGCUUGUCUUUUAACUGUUUUUAAAAUUGUGAAACACGGCCUUGUUCUGUUGCUGACGCCAGAGUGCAGUGAUACAAUCUUGGCUCACUGCAGCCUCAACCUCCUGGGCUCAAGCAAUCCUCCCCCUUUAGCCUCCUGAGUAGCUGGGACUACAAACACGGGCCACCACCGCUGGCUAAUUUUUAAUUUUUUUUUUGAAAUGGAGUUUCGCUCUGUCACCCAGCAGGUUGGAGUGCAGUGGCGUAAUCUCGGCUCACUGCAACCUCCACCUCUCGGGUUCAAGCGAUUCUCCUGCCUCAGCCUCAGCAUCCACAACCAUGCCUGGCUAAUUUUUAAAAAAUAUUUUUAGUAGCGACAGGGUUUCACCAUGUUGGCCAGUCUGGUCUUGAACUCCUGACCUCAAGUGAACCACCUGCCUUGGCCUCCCAAAGUGCUGGGAUUACAGGCGUGAGCCACCGCGCCAAGCCUAAUUUUUAAAUUUUUUGUAGAGACCAGGUUUUGCCAUAUUGUCUAGGCUGGUCUUGAACUCCUGGGCUCAAGUGAUCCUCCUGCCUUGGCUUCUCAAAGUGCUGGGAUUACAGGCAUGGCCCUUAUGCCUGGCUCUUAAAGCUGCUUUUUAAUAACAGGCUUACUAAAAGAUAAUUCACAUACCAUACAAUUUACCCAUUUCAAGUGUACAAUUUGGCCGGGCAUGGUGGCUCACACUUGUAAUCCCAGCACUUUGGGAGGCUGAGGUGGGAGGAUCGCUUGAACCCAAGAGUUUGAGAUGAGCCCGAGCAACAUGGCAAAACCCUGUCUCAACCAAAAAUACAAAAAAAUUAGCUGGGCAUGGUGGGUGUGUCUGCAGUCCCAGCUACUGAGGAGGCUGAAGUGGGAGGAUGGUUUGAGUCCGGGAGGUGGAGGGUGCAGUGAGUUGAGAUUGCACCACUGCCCUCCAUCCUCGGCAACAGAGCCAGACCCUGUCUCUAAAUAAAUAAAUAAAGUGUAUAAUUCAGUGGUUUUUAAUAUAUUCACAGAGUUGUGCAGCCAUCACCACCAUCAGUUUUAGAGAUUUUAAUUACCCGAGGAGAAACCCUGUAUCUAUUAGCAGUCACCCUUUAUUUCCCCCUGACUAUCCCCACCCCUGGCUCCUGGCAACCAUUAAUCUACUUUGUUUCUUUGGAUUUUCAUAUUCUGGGCAUACAUACAUAUAUAUGUGUGUGUGUGUGUGUGUGUGUGUGUGUGUGUGUGUAUAUAUAGAAUCAGCUACUAUUUGUCUGGCUUCUUUCACUUAGCCUAAUGGUUUCAAAGUGUAUCCAGGUUGUAGCAUGAAUCAGCUCUUCAUUCCAUAUUUUGGCUGAUUAAUGUUCCAUCCAUCACACGGGUAGACUGUACUUGUUUGCCCAUUCAUCUGUUGUUGAUAGGCAUUUGUGUUGUUGCCACCUUUUGACAAUUAUGAAUAAUUUUGCUACGAGUAUCUGUGUGUGUCUUUGUAUGAACAGGCUUGCAUAUUUUUUGAUAUGGGCAAAUGAGUACUAGUGGCGGGAGGCCUUUGUGGUGAAUUUUUUGGUGAUCUUUGUGUACUCUGUAUAAUGAUCACCCACGCAGGCUUGAGGGCAGCACUAAACCUUAAAUUUCUUUCUUUUUUUUAAGAUAGGAUCUCUCUCUCUCUGCCACCCAG